GGUGCGCGGGACAAAGGGAAGCGAAGCCGGAGCUGCGGGCGCUUUUUCUGCCCGCGGUGUCUCAGAUUCAUUCUUAAGGAACUGAGAACUUAAUCUUCCAAAAUGUCAAAAAGACCAUCUUAUGCCCCACCUCCCACCCCAGCUCCUGCAACACAAAUGCCCAGCACACCAGGGUUUGUGGGAUACAAUCCAUACAGUCAUCUCGCCUACAACAACUACAGGCUGGGAGGGAACCCGGGCACCAACAGCCGGGUCACGGCAUCCUCUGGUAUUACGAUUCCAAAACCCCCAAAGCCACCAGAUAAGCCGCUGAUGCCCUACAUGAGGUACAGCAGAAAGGUCUGGGACCAAGUAAAGGCUUCCAACCCUGACCUAAAGUUGUGGGAGAUUGGCAAGAUUAUUGGUGGCAUGUGGCGAGAUCUCACUGAUGAAGAAAAACAAGAAUAUUUAAACGAAUACGAAGCAGAAAAGAUAGAGUACAAUGAAUCUAUGAAGGCCUAUCAUAAUUCCCCCGCGUACCUUGCUUACAUAAAUGCAAAAAGUCGUGCAGAAGCUGCUUUAGAGGAAGAAAGUCGACAGAGACAGUCUCACAUGGAGAAAGGAGAACCGUACAUGAGCAUUCAGCCUGCUGAAGAUCCAGAUGAUUACGAUGAUGGCUUUUCAAUGAAGCAUACAGCCACCGCCCGUUUCCAGAGAAACCACCGCCUCAUCAGUGAAAUCCUUAGUGAGAGUGUGGUGCCAGACGUUCGGUCAGUUGUCACAACAGCUAGAAUGCAGGUCCUCAAACGACAGGUCCAGUCCUUAAUGGUUCAUCAGCGAAAACUAGAAGCUGAACUUCUUCAGAUAGAGGAACGACACCAGGAGAAGAAGAGGAAAUUCCUGGAAAGCACAGAUUCGUUUAACAAUGAACUUAAAAGGUUGUGCCGUCUGAAAGUAGAAGUGGAUAUGGAGAAAAUUGCAGCUGAGAUUGCACAGGCAGAGGAACAGGCCCGCAAAAGGCAGGAGGAAAGGGAGAAGGAGGCAGCAAAGCAAGCUGAACGCAGUCAGAGCAGCAUCGUUCCUGAGGAAGAACAAGCAGCCAACAAAGGCGAGGAGAAGAAGGACGACUAGAACAUUCCAAUGGAGACAGAGGAGACACACCUUGAAGAAACGACAGAGAACCAACAAAACGGUGAAGAAGGCACGUCUACUCCUGAGGACAAGGAGAGUGGGCAGGAGGGGGUCGACAGUAUGGCAGAGGAAGGAACCAGUGAUAGCAACACUGGCUCGGAGAGCAACAGUGCAACAGUGGAGGAGCCCCCAACAGAUCCCAUACCAGAAGAUGAGAAAAAAGAAUAAAUGUUGCCUUGUUUUAUGUGUUCUAAAUACUUUUUUAAAUGAAAAAAUGUUUUUUGGUUUAAAAAA